UACGUAGGGUGCAAGCGUUGUCCGGAAUUAUUGGGCGUAAAGAGCUCGUAGGCGGUUUGUUGCGUCGGCUGUGAAAUCCCGAGGCUCAACCUCGGGUCUGCAGUCGAUACGAGCAAACUAGAGUGUUGCAGGGGAGACUGGAAUUCCUGGUGUAGCGGUGAAAUGCGCAGAUAUCAGGAAGAACACCCGUGGCGAAAGCGGCUCUCUGGAACGGUACUGACGCUGAGACGCGAAAGCGUGGGGAGCAAACAGG
rnacentral:rRNA from 1 species